UUGAUUCAAAACCAAGCAUUAAAAAACAGAGAAAGCGGCGUGUUAAUUUUGAAGGCAUAUAAUUUUUGUGACUUCAGUGAAUGUCCUUGAUCAUAAUACUUUAUUAUUAGAUAUCCUCUAAAUAAACAAAGGAAACACACCUAUACACUAAAUGCUAAAGUAAACUAAAAGAGUGAAAGAAAACAUGGAACAUUACCAAGAAGUUAGUAUAUAGUAGAUUUUGUUUGUUUAUUCAUAUCUUCUUUUUCAUUUUGCUUAGUAGAUAUUGAUUUUGUCUAUCUUUUGAAAUGUAUUUUCAUUAAUUACGUUUAAAUUGAUGAAGCAGUAAACAAUGGUAUCAUUAGUUGCAGCUGGCUUAUCUCCUCUAAACAAAUAAAUGUAAACGACCACUUAACCACGUCUAUAACUCUGAUGAUUACAACAAGGUGGGCCCAGAUAAUGUUAAGCUGAUAAUAGCAGGAAAUCGAUCGAUAUCAAAUGCUGAACCACCAAAGGUAUAAAAGGUGUCCGGAUGAAUCAUCGCAUAUGUCAUUCUGCAACUGUGUGUUAGUCUGGAGAUAAAGUACUGGGAAUUUAUUUUGUAGAGUUUUAGAUUGUAGUAUAUAACGCAGACCGGCCGGCGUUUCGACCAGUUUGGAUAUUGAUCUAGUGUCUGUUGGUUGUUCGAGAUAAUUUGGAGGAAUCUUAUUUUUGUUACAGAAAAAUGGCUGACCGCAUGGUAUUCCCCGAUGAAGUUGAAAAAGCUAAGGCUGAAGCCCUUGAAAACGCAGAAGAGACAAAAGUAGAAGAAGUAAAAAGUAACUCUAUUGAAGACACUUCAGGCAGUGUAGAAACACCUCAAGUCACUAUGAGGAAUGUCAUUGUUGUACCUGGAAAUUGUCCGCCAGGGUACCAGAUGGGAGCAGAUGGUGUUUGCCGAGAAACCUUCUAAGUUGUUCCUCUUCUAAAACUAAUCUUUUAAACAGAUCUCUAUUUCUAAAUUUAUCCACCUUCAAACUUUCCAUGUGCAGUUGUUGUUCUUGUAUGAUCGCAAUGAUAUCAGUAUAUCGGAUUUAUCAGGUUCAAAAUGGUCAUACCAUGAUUAAAUCAAAUGUGAUUGUGACGCAGAGGUAGCUAUAUCUCGCAGUUUGAAUACUAAAGAAUUGUUUAGGGAAGCAGUAACUUGAAUAUCAUCGUGUAAAACACUUGGGAAACUGAGGUUAAUUCUAAAAAUAAAUCAAUGAAUUGGAAUCUUUAAUUAAUUUAAGAUUGUAUCGGUAAUUUAAGACCUCCCAGUAUUAAUUCUUUUGAUGUUUUUUAUUGUGAUGUUUUUCAAAUAAGUAUUUAUGUAUGUUAAAGUAUUAAAUAAUAAGCAUAAAUUAAGAGUAAAA